GGCAGGAGGGUAGAUUUGGCAACAUGAGGGCGUCCAGGCUUCUCUCUUGCUAAGAAGCAGACAACCAGAGGAAAGAUGGUAUACAUCUCAAAUGGUCAGGUGUUGGACAGCCAGAAUCAGUCCCCCUGGAGAUUGUCUUUCACAACAGAUUUCUUUUGGGGAAUAGCAGAAUUUGUGUGUGUGUGUGUGUGUGUGUGUGUGUGUGUGUGUGUGUGUGUGUGUGUGUAUGUGUGUGUUUUGUUUGGUUGGUUUUUUUUUCUUUUUUUUUUCAAAACUCUGCCUCAGCAAGAUGUGAAGAAAAGAAGAGGCUACGGGAGCCCCUCUGAUUCCAAAUACGAUGACAGAAGAGGGCCAUCAGGAAACUCUCCCACGAAGAAUGGGUCCGAUCAGUCACUUUCGUGGCCCCAUUCCUCCCCCAAUGGCCAGUGGAUCAGGAAGGUAAACAUCUGCUCUAAGAAGCAGACAACUAGACAUACACAAGCAUAGAAGGGAACCAUCAAAAGGUGUGGAGCAGCUCAUGAGGGGAGGAUGGUGUAUGUCCAAACAAGGACUACUCUGUGUCCUCACAGAAGAAUGAGGUCAUGCUGGGAAAUCCCUCUGCAGGAUCUGGCCUGAAUGAUGUGCAGUUCUACAACUCCUGUGUGUACAUCUCCUUAUCUGUUUUGUAUAGGUUACAAAAGUUAACAUAGAUUUAAGAAGUAAAUAUUUUUCGGUUGUAAAACUUGAUUCUUCAUCUUUAUAUGAUUAUACACAAAAUCCUUGAUCUGGAAGAAAUAAAGGCCAUGUAGUUAGGACUGGAGAAAAAUAAAAAAAGAAAAGUAGCCUUAGGCUCAAUCCCCACUGCUAUUUUUCCUUCUUUAUUAUCUCAAACCAUGAACAUUCUUUCAUUCAAUUACUCCUGGUCAUUGUUUUCAGCUACAGAGUAUUCAUCUGCAGAGGCAAAACUACUAACAACGUAAGAAAUAUUUUCCUUCCAUUUUUACUUGUAGUAUUUAUUAAUUAUUUUAUAGUGCUUGGCAUUGAACCUGUGGCCACAUACAACACAUUUAAAUGGUCUUAGACUAAUCUACACUUUUUCUUUAUUUUCCAAAUUAAUAUUGAUCUAUGACAGCAGCAGACAUAUAUGUUUCUUGAUCAACCAUUAUUACUAUAUGGAACAUGUUUUUCGGGCAGAGAGGAGGGCAAGAAAGAAGCAAAUGCAUUACUUACUACAGCAUUACAUACCAAUUGUCAUUGGGUGAAAUGACAAAAAAAUGAGGCUUUUGAGCUUUAUUUUUCCAACAUUUUUGUUCUUUACUGUCACAAGAAAGUAACUCUGUCACAUUUUUUCACUCAUAUUGUUUGGUUAGUGGAGAGGCUUGAGAGCCAUGGUAAAAAAAAAAAUAAAAAAAAUAAAAAAAAAAACACUUGAGAAACAUGAAGUAUAAGGUCUAGUGGUAAAAACGAGAAACUUGAGGCUCAUAAAAUAUAAAUAAUCUGUUAAAGAUCACAGAGAGUCAAUGACAGAGUCUCACAGGACAGCAGAUUUUAUACUGUUAAGUGAUUGUCUGCCUGUUUCAUAUACAUGAAAUAACUGAUAUUUGUUGGUGAAGAAGGCAUAUAUUGCUUACUCGGCAAAUCUUCAUUAAGUUUCUCCCCUAUCCAAGUAGAAUUCUAGGCAUUUAGGGGUAAAAAUAACUGAGAUAACAGAAAUAUCCUCUAUCUGGAUUUCAUCUUAUAUUAAUUAGGGCAGAAGGAACAUCAAUAAAUAAAUGGGAAUAAAAUGUCUAAAAUGAUAUCUACAGAGACUAGAAACUUAGGAUAAAGGCAGGAGGGUAGAUUUGGCAACAUGAGGGCGUCCAGGCUUCUCUCUUGCUAAGAAGCAGACAACCAGAGGAAAGAUGGUAUACAUCUCAAAUGGUCAGGUGUUGGACAGCCAGAAUCAGUCCCCCUGGAGAUUGUCUUUCACAACAGAUUUCUUUUGGGGAAUAGCAGAAUUUGUGUGUGUGUGUGUGUGUGUGUGUGUGUGUGUGUGUGUGUGUGUGUGUGUGUAUGUGUGUGUUUUGUUUGGUUGGUUUUUUUUUCUUUUUUUUUUCAAAACUCUGCCUCAGCAAGAUGUGAAGAAAAGAAGAGGCUACGGGAGCCCCUCUGAUUCCAAAUACGAUGACAGAAGAGGGCCAUCAGGAAACUCUCCCACGAAGAAUGGGUCCGAUCAGUCACUUUCGUGGCCCCAUUCCUCCCCCAAUGGCCAGUGGAUCAGGAAGGUAAACAUCUGCUCUAAGAAGCAGACAACUAGACAUACACAAGCAUAGAAGGGAACCAUCAAAAGGUGUGGAGCAGCUCAUGAGGGGAGGAUGGUGUAUGUCCAAACAAGGACUACUCUGUGUCCUCACAGAAGAAUGAGGUCAUGCUGGGAAAUCCCUCUGCAGGAUCUGGCCUGAAUGAUGUGCAGUUCUACAACUCCUGUGUGUACAUCUCCUUAUCUGUUUUGUAUAGGUUACAAAAGUUAACAUAGAUUUAAGAAGUAAAUAUUUUUCGGUUGUAAAACUUGAUUCUUCAUCUUUAUAUGAUUAUACACAAAAUCCUUGAUCUGGAAGAAAUAAAGGCCAUGUAGUUAGGACUGGAGAAAAAUAAAAAAAGAAAAGUAGCCUUAGGCUCAAUCCCCACUGCUAUUUUUCCUUCUUUAUUAUCUCAAACCAUGAACAUUCUUUCAUUCAAUUACUCCUGGUCAUUGUUUUCAGCUACAGAGUAUUCAUCUGCAGAGGCAAAACUACUAACAACGUAAGAAAUAUUUUCCUUCCAUUUUUACUUGUAGUAUUUAUUAAUUAUUUUAUAGUGCUUGGCAUUGAACCUGUGGCCACAUACAACACAUUUAAAUGGUCUUAGACUAAUCUACACUUUUUCUUUAUUUUCCAAAUUAAUAUUGAUCUAUGACAGCAGCAGACAUAUAUGUUUCUUGAUCAACCAUUAUUACUAUAUGGAACAUGUUUUUCGGGCAGAGAGGAGGGCAAGAAAGAAGCAAAUGCAUUACUUACUACAGCAUUACAUACCAAUUGUCAUUGGGUGAAAUGACAAAAAAAUGAGGCUUUUGAGCUUUAUUUUUCCAACAUUUUUGUUCUUUACUGUCACAAGAAAGUAACUCUGUCACAUUUUUUCACUCAUAUUGUUUGGUUAGUGGAGAGGCUUGAGAGCCAUGGUAAAAAAAAAAAUAAAAAAAAUAAAAAAAAAAACACUUGAGAAACAUGAAGUAUAAGGUCUAGUGGUAAAAACGAGAAACUUGAGGCUCAUAAAAUAUAAAUAAUCUGUUAAAGAUCACAGAGAGUCAAUGACAGAGUCUCACAGGACAGCAGAUUUUAUACUGUUAAGUGAUUGUCUGCCUGUUUCAUAUACAUGAAAUAACUGAUAUUUGUUGGUGAAGAAGGCAUAUAUUGCUUACUCGGCAAAUCUUCAUUAAGUUUCUCCCCUAUCCAAGUAGAAUUCUAGGCAUUUAGGGGUAAAAAUAACUGAGAUAACAGAAAUAUCCUCUAUCUGGAUUUCAUCUUAUAUUAAUUAGGGCAGAAGGAACAUCAAUAAAUAAAUGGGAAUAAAAUGUCUAAAAUGAUAUCUACAGAGACUAGAAACUUAGGAUAAA
rnacentral:lncRNA from 1 species